rnacentral:rRNA from 2 species
UGGGGAAUAUUGGACAAUGGGCGCAAGCCUGAUCCAGCCAUGCCGCGUGUGUGAAGAAGGCCUUUUGGUUGUAAAGCACUUUAAGCGAGGAGGAGGCUACUUGGAUUAAUACUCUAGGAUAGUGGACGUUACUCGCAGAAUAAGCACCGGCUAACUCUGUGCCAGCAGCCGCGGUAAUACAGAGGGUGCGAGCGUUAAUCGGAUUUACUGGGCGUAAAGCGUGCGUAGGCGGCUUCUUAAGUCGGAUGUGAAAUCCCUGAGCUUAACUUAGGAAUUGCAUUCGAUACUGGGAAGCUAGAGUAUGGGAGAGGAUGGUAGAAUUCCAGGUGUAGCAGUGAAAUGCGUAGAGAUCUGGAGGAAUACCGAUGGCGAAGGCAGCCAUCUGGCCUAAUACUGACGCUGAGGUACGAAAGCAUGGGGAGCAAACAGG